rnacentral:rRNA from 1 species
UGGGUAGCUACGUUCGGCAGGGAUAACCGCUGAAAGCAUCUAAGCGGGAAGCCCCCCCAGAGAUGAGGCCUGCUUGCGUAAGCGAGAGACCCCUGGUAGACCACCAGGUUGAUAGGCCGCAGGUGUAAGGACAGAAAUGUCCUGCUCAGCCGAGCGGUACUAACGGUCAAAUUCGAUCACACC